rnacentral:lncRNA from 1 species
UUGAGCCCCCCUAAUUAUGCCAAGAUGACACCCUGGUAUCAUGGACAUUGGGUUCUGCACCCCCCAUGAUGCAGACCCUUACCCAGAAAAAAUAUAAAAUUUCCAUCCUCUACUCCUUCCAAGAAAAUGGUAGGACCGUUUUAGGGGUUAGAAAAAAAAAAUAAGAAUAAUAAUAAUAAUAAGAAACCGAACAAAAACAUAAAGUCCCCAAAACUCCGUUUUGGUGACUUAAUAAUAAUAAGAAAAAAAGAAACGAACAAUAACAAUAUGUCACCCCAACUCCGUUGAGGGUGCCAUAAUAACUAGAUUUGCCAUUGCAAGCAAUAGCGGAUGGCACCCUUUCCCCAUUGCCAGGCCAGCAGCAGCCAUUUAAAAAUUUUGCUGUUUCCAUGGCAACGGCGGCCAUUUUGAAAAUUCGAAACUCAAAAGUUAAGUCUACAUAAGCUAGGCAAAAUGUGUUAUAAGUUUCAUUAAAUUUAAAGCAUUUUGAAGUUUUUCAUAAUUUUGCUGUUCCCAUGGUAACGGCGGCCAUUUUGAAUAUUCCAAAACCCCGCUGCAAUUUUUUUCCCUCCAUAAUCAUAUAUACCAUCAUAUACCAUUUAAUGUCUCUAGAAUAAAUUUAACAUUGAUGUUCUGGAAUGUUCUGUGAAAAUUCAAAGUUUUGACCUUUUUGCAUUGUUUCCAUGGUAACAACAGAUAUUUUGGAAAUUCCAACGCCAAAUUCCACAUCUUCCAAUGUUGCUCAUCGUUACUGUGAAGUUUCAAAAAAGUUUGGAGCAUUUUCGUAUUUUUGGAAAUUUUUGGUGUAGUUUCCAUGGCAACAUAGUAGUUCCAAUGAGUGCCAAAAUCACCCAACACCUGUAUAUAGUGGGCACCUCCAUUGUAUUCAAAUAUAAUGAUUCUGAGUUAAAGCAUAUCCAAACAGUUCACCAAAAACAAAAACUGGAUUUUUUCACAUUUGUUCUGUUUCCAUGGAAACGGCAGCCAUCUUGAACCAUUCCAUGCUUCCUGCAACUCUGCACAUGGGGUCCUUAAUAUAGUAAAGUUCCAUCAACUUUGGUACUUUAGAUUUGGAGAAAUCGCCUGGACAAAAUGUGUUGCAAGAAAAAUAAUAAUAAGAAAAAAAAAGAACGAGAAUAACAAUACGUCACCCCAACUCCGUUGAGGGUGCCAUAAUAAUAAGAAAAAAAAAAAAGAACGUAGAAUAACAAUACGUCACCCCAACUCCGUUGAGGGUGCCAUAACAAAGAAACAUAAGAAAAGCAAUAUGUCACCCGACAUUGUCGAUCGGGUGACAUAAUAGAUUUGUAAAUACUAGCAAUAACGGAUGGCACCAUCGUCCCCCCCAUUGCCAGGCGAGCGGCAGCCAUUUUGGAAAUUCUAAAGUCAAAGAGUGCAUCUACACCUGCAAGUUUUUAUUUUUGCAUAAUUUCAGUAAGUUUGGAGCAUUUUGAAAUAAGAAAAAAAAAGAAACGUAGAAUAACAAUAUGUCACCCUAACUCCGUUGAGGGUGCCAUAAUAAGAAAAAAAGAAACGAACAAUAACAAUAUGUCACCCCAACUCCGUUGAGGGUGCCAUAAUAACAAAGAAACGAAGGAAUAACAAUAUGUCACCCGACAUUGUCGAUCGGGUGACAUAAAAAAAAGAAACGUAGAAUAACAAUACGUCACCCCAACUUCGUUGAGGGUGCCAUAAUAAUAGGGAAAAAGAAACAGAGGAAAAGCAAUAUGUCACCCGACUUUGUCGAUCGGGUGACAUAAUAAUAAGACAAAAAGAAACGAACAAUAACAAUAUGUCACCCCAACUCCGUUGAGGGUGCCAUAAAAAGAAACGUAAAAUACCAAUAUGUCACCCCAACUCCGUUGAGGGUGCCAUAAAAAGAAACGUAGAAUAACAAUAUGUCACCCCAACUCCGUUGAGGGUGCCAUAAAUAGGGAAAAAGAAACAGAGGAAAAGCAAUAUGUCACCCGACAUUGUCGAUCGGGUGACAUAAUUAUAG